AGAGUUGAUCCUGGCUCAGAAUCAACGCUGGCGGCGUGCCUCAGACAUGCAAGUCGAACGAUUAAACUUCUCUUCGGAGAAGAUAUAGAGUGGCGCACGGGUGAGUAACACGUAGGUAAUCUACCUUUGAGUGGGGAAUAACUUAGGGAAACUUAAGCUAAUACCGCAUAAUGCAGCGGCAUCUUCGGAUGACAGUUGUUAAAGGAGCAAUUCGCUUAAAGAGGAGCCUGCGGCAGAUUAGCUAGUUGGUAAGGUAAUGGCUUACCAAGGCGACGAUCUGUAACCGACCUGAGAGGGUGGUCGGUCACACUGACACUGAAUAACGGGUCAGACUCCUACGGGAGGCAGCAGUCGGGAAUUUUGGGCAAUGGGCGAAAGCCUGACCCAGCAACGCCGCGUGAAGGAUGAAGUCUUUCGGGAUGUAAACUUCGUAAGAAUAGGAAGAAUAAAUGACGGUACUAUUUGUAAGGUCCGGCUAACUACGUGCCAGCAGCCGCGGUAAUACGUAGGGACCAAGCGUUGUUCGGAUUUACUGGGCGUAAAGGGCGCGUAGGCGGUUUGUCAAGUCAGUUGUGAAAUCUCCGAGCUUAACUCGGAACGGUCAACUGAUACUGUCAAACUAGAGUACAGAAGGGGCAAUCGGAAUUCUUGGUGUAGCGGUGAAAUGCGUAGAUAUCAAGAGGAACACCUGAGGUGAAGACGGGUUGCUGGGCUGAUACUGACGCUGAGGCGCGAAAGCUAGGGUAGCAAACGGGAUUAGAUACCCCGGUAGUCCUAGCCCUAAACGAUGAAUGCUUGGUGUCUGGAGUUUUUGAACUCUGGGUGCCGUCGCUAACGCUUUUAGCAUUCCGCCUGGGGAGUACGCACGCAAGUGUGAAACUCAAAGGAAUUGACGG
rnacentral:rRNA from 1 species